rnacentral:rRNA from 1 species
GUGCCAGCAGCCGCGGUAAUACGGAGGGUGCAAGCGUUAUCCGGAAUCACUGGGUUUAAAGGGUGCGUAGGCGGUGAGAUAAGUCAGUCGUGAAAUCUCUUGGCUUAACCAAUGAAAUUGCGAUUGAUACUGUUUUACUUGAAAGAGGUUGAGGUCAGCGGAAUGUGGCAUGUAGCGGUGAAAUGCAUAGAUAUGCCAUAGAACACCGAUUGCGAAGGCAGCUGGCUGGGCCUACUUUGACGCUGAGGCACGAAAGCGUGGGGAGCAAACAGGAUUAGAAACCCCUGUAGUCC